UACAUGACCGCAUAGAUGCAUCGCAUGCAUACAUGCCCGCAUAGCAAAACUUAUUUAAAUAAAUCUUCUCUCUUCUAUCAUUCCCAUUUCUCCUCUUCACACAUUUCUGUAGAACUCCCGCUGUGAGAAGAUCGGAUAUGGGACAGAAAGCGGAGAAGGAGAAGGAGGAUGUCGAUGGCGGGAAGAAGAAGGAAGAAGUGUUGCCUGUCGUCAUUUUUAAGGUCGAUGUGCAUUGCGACGGCUGUGCAUCGAAGAUCAGGCGAUGCGUCAGAGGAUUCCAAGGGGUGGAGGGAGUUACGGUCGAUAAGGCUACCAACCAAUUGAGUGUUACAGGGAAUGUGGAUCCCUGGAU